GUCAAACUGUCACUGAGGGAUUCUGUUUAGCAUCACGUUGGUACUUAGCUGUCAUCUGUCAAUUUGGCCACAAUCUCGGAUCGGUCGGUAUUAAACUGUAUAUCCUUUACGAAUUUCGAUCUUUUUCCUACAUUGUUCUAUUACUCAGUAGUAUAAGUCCAGGUCAAAUUCGCAUGUGUGAAGUUAAUCUGUACACAUGAAGUCAUUACAGGAAAAUACGUCCGACAAAGAAGAUUAACAUAAUAACCUGUUACUGUAAAUAUUCAAAGAUGGAUUAAUCAAGGAUUCAGUACAACAUCACUAUGGAGAAGACUCCUCAUAUGCUUGUUAAAGCUGGUCCUUCAGUUUUCAGGUACAAGCUAGUGACAAUUCCCCUGGUAUUAAAAGCAAACACUUGCUAUCUGGAGAUUGAGUCUUUGUCAGAUGACAUAAUUUCGCCACCAGUCAAUGUUGAACAAAUUGACAUGUAGCUGGGAAUUCAUUCCUAAUAACUUUGAAAUUUGACAAGCAGGCUGUUUCUACCUUUGACUAAGCUGAAAGAAGUCAUUGUAUCAUCAGCCCUUACUGAUGAAACUCUUUUGAAUCCCACAACUAUGACCGCCUUUCCAGUUUCGAAAAUUAGAAAGCUGUCUGAAAAAAGGUUGAAAACGACGAGGGAUCAAAACUUGUUCUCUGAGAUGCUCCCCAUUACUGACACCAAACCCGCUGCUUUGUUGAUCAAAGAAUUGGUUCUGAGUAAAAGCACGUUUAUGAUUCCUGUUGUACCCUAUUAAUUACUUGCGCAUGCCAUCUGAGCAGCUGUUCACCUCACGGGAGGAUCUCUUGAAAGAGAGCCUCAACAUAAAGAUCAAGGAACCGACAACCGACACCAUCAACAAGUCCAUCAUAGCAUGUCAUGCAAGUCGUCAAAGAUAACACCAACUUGAUCCCUGCCAUUGAGCAUCUCACGUCAAAAGCGGCUCCGUUCUUCACGCCACCGCGGCUCCGUUCUUCCGCUUCGUCCACCUCACGUCAUCUUUGCUCUGCAGCACAUCGCCGCCGUUCACCGCAACAAUUUCUUGUCUGCUAUUUUCCCCCUGAUCCUCAAUGCCACCGAGAUCCAGAUCCGUAUAACCGCCAUCGUUCACCUUGUUCUGCGUGCAUCCCACUUUCCUCGAGCUGUUAUCUAUCCUUGUGUCUGUUAUUUGUUUAUAAAAAUUAAAAAUACAAUCAUUGGCUAACAAA